GCUGGGUUUGGUGGCACAUGCCUGUAAUCCCAGCAACCUGUGGGCUGAGGCAGGAGGAUCACAAGUUGAUUCGAAACUUAGUUAGACCCCAAGCAACUUAGUGAGAUUCUGUCUCAA
rnacentral:sRNA from 1 species